rnacentral:rRNA from 1 species
GGAAGGGGUGUAUUUAUUAGAUAAAAAUCAACUUUGUUGGUGAAUCAUAAUAACUUCUCGGACCGCAUGGCCUUGUGCUGGCGGUGCUUCAUUCAAAUAUCUGCCCUAUCAACUGUCGAUGGUAGGAUAGAGGCCUACCAUGGUUGCAACGGGUAACGGGGAAUAAGGGUUCGAUUCCGGAGAGGGAGCCUGAGAAACGGCUACCACAUCCAAGGAAGGCAGCAGGCGCGCAAAUUACCCAAUCCCGACACGGGGAGGUAGUGACAAUAUGUAACAAUAUACGGCCUUAUACGUCGUAUAAUUGGAAUGAGUACAAUUUAAAUCCCUUAACGAGGAACAAUUGGAGGGCAAGUCUGGUGCCAGCAGCCGCGGUAAUUCCAGCUCCAAUAGCGUAUAUUAAAGUUGUUGCAGUUAAAAAGCUCGUAGUUGAACCUUGGGCCUGGCUGGCCGGUCCSCCUCACCGCGUGCACUGGACCGGCCGGGCCUUCCUUCUGGGGAGCCGCAUGGCCUUCGCUGGCCGUGUCGGGGACCAGGACUUUUACUUUGAAAAAAUUAGAGUGUUCAAAGCAGGCCUUCGCUCGGAUACAUUAGCAUGGAAUAAUAGAAUAGGGCGCGCGGUUCUAUUUUUGUUGGGUUCUAGGACCGCCGUAAUGAUUAAUAGGGAUAGUCGGGGCGCCAUCCGUAUUCGAAUGCUCAAGGAGGU